ACUUCGCCGAGUCGCACUUUUUAACACUGCAGAACAAUUGGACGAGCCACAACUUGCGACGAGUUCUGUUGCUUAACAUCAAUUACAGUCACAAAGGGGAGAGAAGAAGAGAGUAAAAAAAAGACUUGUAUCCAGACUGAGUAUCUUUCUCUGCCACCAGCUAUGGAGAGGGGGGUCAGAUUAUGCCCUAUUUGGCACACCAGCGUUUUCUGGUUUCUGCUUUUGAUAAUGCUAUCUUUCUUUCUAGCCGCUAAAUCAGAGAUAACUUGCAGAUCAUGUCAGCCGGGAGAUAAGGGGCGUAUUAAGGAAUUACUGCUUAAAACGGACACACGAGAAUUCGCAACAGGGCACGGAGGGGAAGUUAUUGGAAAUGGAGACGGGACAACUGCUUCACGGAGUUUAAAUUCUGCAAGUGCCGAAACUCAACAGCUUGAUUGCGCAGCUAGAUCCGAUGAAUGCAUCCAGGGGAAAAACAUAUACUCAAGGCGAAAACGGAAUACUGACAUACUGCUCCGUUCCAAGAACGCACUACUCGAUGGAGGAAUGCAAUACGGUGGUGGUAAACAGAGAAAAUUCACCCCGCGCGGUGAGUACAAAGUUUCCAACCUGAAAAUGAACCGUCAUGUAGGCAAUACAGAUGUCGGGAAGGCUCGCGCAGAUUUAAUUCCCGGCGUCUCACACGAGCACCGAGUUCGUAGGGACAGCCCGGGAGCUAAUAUUGGGGAUGUUAAAGUGAAGUCCUCCGGUUUACCCCAGAGAAGGGAGACACUGCCUCAGAGUUACUCGCGAGAGGGCAUCACCUCACGGACUGGGCGCAGCAGAGUGACACGGUCCGAAUUGCGAUGGAGCAACGAGGACAGAAGAGCGGCCAGUUCGAGGCAGGACGAACUCAAACUCACCAGUUCAACCUUCGCAUUGACCGGAGAUUCCUCUCACAACCAAGCCAUGGUGCACUGGUCUGGGCAAAACAGCAGUGUGAUUCUCAUGCUGACCAAGCUGUUUGACUUCAACCUGAACAGUGUCACAGAGAGCUCGUUGUGGAGGUCAACCGACUACGGAACCACUUACCAGAAGCUCAAUGAGAAAGUGGGGGCGAAAACAAUCCUCAGCUACUUGUACGUCAGUCCCAACAACAAGAGAAAGAUCAUGCUUCUGACUGACCCGGAGGUGGAAAGCAGCCUGCUGAUCAGCUCCGAUGAGGGAGCCACCUAUCAGAAGUACCGCCUCAGCUUCUACAUCCUCAGCCUUCUCUUCCACCCCGAGCAGGAGGACUGGAUCCUUGCCUACAGCCAUGACCAGAAGCUGUACAGCUCGGUGGAGUUUGGAAGGAGGUGGCAACUUGUCCAUGAGAGGGUGGCCCCCAAUCGAUUCUACUGGUCAAAAACGGGUUUAGACAAAGAACCGGGCUUAAUUCACCUGGAAACCAUCAUCUCUGAAGGACAGGCGCUGUACGUCACCUGCAAGCUGCAGAACUGCACCGAGGCCAAUAAGGGCAAGCCGUUCCCUGGCUACAUUGACCCCAAUUCCCUUGUGGUACAAGACGAGUAUGUGUUUGUCCAGGUGUCAACUGGUGGGCGUCCAAUCUACUAUGUGUCAGCCAAGCGGGAAGUCUUCACACCCAUGAAGCUACCCAAGUACACCUUGCCUAAGGAUCUGCAUGUGAUCAGUACGGAUGAGAACCGGGUGGUUGCGGCGGUGCAGGAGUGGAACCAGAACGACACCUACAACCUGUACGUGUCAGAGACUGGAGGGGUCUUCUACACCCUGGCCCUGGAGAACGUAGUCAGCAGCAUGGGGCACGAGGGCAACGUCAUGAUAGACCUGUAUGAGGUGGCGGGUAUAAAAGGGAUGUUCCUCGCCAACAAGAUGACGGACAGCGUGGUGAAGACUUACAUCACCUACAACAGAGGGAGAGACUGGAGGCUCCUGCAGGCUCCCACUGCUGACCUGAGGGGCAACAGCAUCCGCUGUGAACUACCAUACUGUUCCCUACACCUCCACCUACAUGUGUCGGCCAACCCCUACACGUCGGGGAAUAUCGAGAGCAAGGACUCUGCCCCUGGGAUCAUUGUGGCCUCAGGCUCCAUCGGAGCGGAGUUGACCACCAGCAACGUGAGCAUGUUCAUCACCUCGGACGCCGGCAACACGUGGAGACAGAUCUUUGAUGAGGAGUACAGUGUUCUCUACCUGGACCAAGGAGGGGCCCUGGUGGCUAUAAGACACACUCCACUCCCCAUCCGACACCUAUGGAUGAGUUUCGACGAGGGGAGAGAGUGGAAUAAAUACAGUUUCACCAUGUCGCCCCUGUUUGUGGACGGGUUGCUAGGGGAGCCGGGGGAGGAGACUCUCAUUAUGACGAUCUUUGGCCACGUCAGUCACCGGUCCGAGUGGCAGCUGGUCAAGAUUGACUUCAGGUCCAUCUUCAACCGGAGAUGUACAGAGGGGGAUUACCAGACAUGGCACCUACACAACCGGGGCGAACCGUGCAUCAUGGGAGUGAAAAGAAUCUACAGGAAGUUGAAGCCCAUAGCCAGGUGCGUUAUGGGUAAGACAUACUCGGUCACGAUGACCUCGGCACCCUGCGACUGCACAGAGGCCGACUUUGAGUGUGACUAUGGCUACGAUAGGCGGAGUGAUGGCAAGUGCACCCCUGCCUUUUGGUUCCUCCCAUCGUCCAUGUCUAGAAGCUGCACCACAGGGACUACUUUCAUCAACAGCACUGGCUACAGGAAGGUGGUGUCCAAUAACUGCACAGCGGGAAUCAUAGCAGAGUACACGGCCAGGAGGCAGCACUGUCCUACCCAGGCCCCCAAAGGCCUGCACCUCGUCACCAGUGAAGGAAAGCUGACAGCUACGCUGGGCACCAAUGUCACCUUCCUGGUGUUUCUUGAAGAGGGUGACGGAGCCAGGACGAGCAUCAUGGUGGACUUCGGGGACGGUCACGCUCUGACCUACUCCAACGUGAGCUCCAUAGAGAAUGGGGUCAAGCAUGUCUACAAGGCUGUCGGGAUCUACCGUGUGACCGCUACAGGAGAGAACAGGCUGGGGUCGGAGAGCGUGGUGCUGUACCUCCACGUCACAUGUCAGCUGGAGUAUAUCCAUCUCUCCGCUCCCUUUGUGGCGGUGAAGAGUAAGGAAGUCAACCUCACUGCUGUGCUGUGGCCGAGCCAAGUGGGAACAGUCACCUACAUCUGGUGGUUCGGAAAUAACACUGAGCCGAUAAUCACCCUGGAAGGGAGCGUGGCGUGCACGUUCUCCCGGGAAGGCGUCAACACUGUCACCGUGCAGGUGUCCGCUGGGAACGCCAUCCUACAGGACCGGAAAGCCAUCGCUGUCCACGAAUAUUUCAGGUCACAUCUACUAGCCUUCUCAUCUAACCUGGAUGACCACAACCCCGACGUGGCCGAAUGGAGACUAGACGUCAGCAGAGUCAUCAAGAACUCCAUGGUCAAAGCCACAGGGGUGACACCGGAACGGCUCCUUGUCAGUGUCCUACCAGGGUUGCCCACGGCAGCAGAGUUUUUCCUCCUACCAGACAAAGAGUUAACGGAGGGAAAGCCGGAUAAGAACUCAGCUCAUUUAGACCAGCUCACUGAAAUCAUACUUAGCGCCCUCAACCAAAACCUGGUCCAGUUCACCCUUCGUCCUGGGGUCCAGGUCACAGUAUAUGCUGCACAUUUGUCAGCAGCUACACAGAGACAUUCAGAGAGUGAGCAUCGUUACAAGUAUGUGUGCCUCUUCCUUUUGGGGAUGCUGCUACUGUCCUAGGGGCUUAUAAGAUAAAGACGCCCCUAGUGGACAUGAGUGAGAACCACAGCGGCUCGGCCAUGCUGAUGCUGCUGUCGGUUGUGGUUCUGGGUUUGGCGAUAUUUGUCGUCUACAAAUUCAAAAGAUCCCAGGCCUCAACGUCUAUGCGCAGAUGCAGAACGAAAAAGAACAAGAAAUGAUCCAGAGUCCAGUAAGUCCGACGGAAAGCACCCUGGUGUCCCCGAACACUCCGAGGGAGCUGGUGACUUCUCCGGAGCUUAUGGACACAGAGUUGAACACACGGCCCAUCGGAUGCAUCAAGUCUCACGCACAUGUCAAGUUCUCAACGGAACUCCCCACGUACAUCAACAUUUAAAAACUCUGGACAACCCCGAAAACAGCAACUCCAUUCAGUGUCAUGGACUUUUUGAAUCAUUUGAGCGGACACAAUGGUAUUGAGCUUUAUACCUGUGCAUGUUGGACUUUACUGACUUUGCUGACACGUACUGUGCUCUGUGAAAAUCAGAAGACACUGUAUACAGGUUUUUUUAUUCAUAAUAUAUGUCUAUCCAAUAAAAAAAUCUUUUUUGAUGAAAUGUAUUUAUACAAAGUCAAGUACAUAACUACAAAUGGAAAGCCAGCAUGAUCUAAAGAAAAAAAGACACAAAAAAACAACACUCUUUUGGUUAGCUUACUGUAAGUGUCUUACAUCCUUUUUCGCUACUGUGUGUCGCUACCAGAGGUGGUACACUAUUUAUUCAGUAUAUAAUUGAAUUUAAAAUCACAUUUAUUUUGUAAAUCAUGAAUGUCUGUGUGAUAUUUGUGUAUUUUAAUAACAAAUUACAAACUGAAAAACGGUAUCAAUUAUUAAUACAACAAUUUUGUUUCCGUUCACUGUCUCAUGGAAAGCUGAUUAUGGCACAAUACACUUUUGUACUGAAAUGUUUUGUUUUUGCUUACAAUGUAAUAAUUCAAAGACAGAUACAGGGUUUGGUUGUCUCUUGAUUUGGUGAUGUUAUUGAACUUUGCUGUUAAUCUCUACACUACGAGCUAUAUUUAACGAGAAACACUAGUUGUAGGACACUUUGUUUUUUUCCCAAUGUAAUAGCUUGGUCUGAGAACCGUGGCGCUAGCCUGCUACCAUGAUAGGGACUUCAAGAGAAGCCAAUGUAGAUGCAUUAUGUUUUCAGCUCCCUCUGACACCAUGCAUUAGUUACACCUGAUUUCAUAGAAGAGAAAUGGGCAGAAGACAGUUAUUUGGUGGGGGGGGGGGGGGGCAUCAAAAUCAGUCAAUAUCCUCUCAAAGUAACCUUUUCUUCCGAAGUUAUCUGACGUCCCAAUUUGGAGGUUGAAAAAGUAAAAAGAAAUACAGCUGCUUUAAGACGGAAUAUCAAGUGGAGUGUUCAGAGUGAGAAAAAAAGAGUAGACUGCCUUUAAGGACAAGACACACCAGGGCAUUGAAAUAGGGAGAACAGAACAGAACUGAAAGUCUAGUCGGGAAUUGAGUUAAUGCAGCCAGUCAAGCUCAAUGCUGGUUAAGGUUGGUGACACAUUUAGGCUAAUGGCCCCUAGUCUCGGCCCCGUAUACUCCAUCUCCGUAACGUAUUAUACCCCUUUUCAAGAACCAAAGGAAGUAGAGCGCAGACAGUAGAGGAUGUUAGGGUACAUGAAUGGUUAACUUGUUUUGAGAAGCAGGGAUAGACGCAGUCGAACCCCGAAGUGUUUUACAUGUGGAAUCUGACAGACGUGAUUGUUUGAUUGAUGGUUAUGGAAUUUCGGAAAGCCCUUCUUAUUGUCCUUGUCGUUCCAUAAAGACAAUGAUGGAGGGAAAAUUAUGAUAUUUCUGGAAUCUUCAUAUAACCGUUAUUCUACUGUAGCUGGACAGUGAUGCUAAAAUAUUCCAAGUGACUUGAACUAUGUAGCAUACAUAUUGUAUAAACACACACGAUCACCCACCAACACACAACCUAGAAUGUACAGUACCAGUCAAAUGUUUGGACACACCUACUCAUUCAAGGGUUUUUCUUUAUUUUUACUAUGUUCUACAUUGUAUAAUAACAGUGAAGACAUCAAAAUGAUGAAAUAACACAUGGAAUCAUUUAGUAACCAAAAAAUUGUUAAACAAAUCAAAAUAUAUUUUAAAUUUGAGAUUCGUCAAAGUAGCCACCCUUUGCCUUGAUGACAGUUUUGCACUCCCUUGGCAUUCUCAAAACCAGCGUCACAUGGAAUGCUUUUCAAAAAGUCUUGAAGGAGUUUCCACAAAUGCUGAGCACUUUAUGGCUAAUUUUCUUUCUCUAAUGUCCAUUGCUCAUGUCUCUUGGACCAAGCAAGUCUCUUCUUCUUAUUGGUGUUCUUUAGUAGUGGUAUAUUUGCAGCAAUUGGACCAUGAAGGCCUGAUUCACACAGUCUCCUCUUAACAGUUGAUGUUGAGAUGUGUCUGCUUCUUGAACUCUGUGAAGCAUUUAUUUGGGCUGCAAUUUCUGAGGCUGGUAACUCUAACAAACUUAUCCUCUGCAGCAGAAGUAACUUUGGGUCUUCCUUUUCUGUGGUGGUCCUCAUGAGAGCCAGUUUCAUAAGAACGCUUGAUGGGUUUUGCAACUGCACUUGAAGAAACUUUAAAAGUUCUUGAAAUGUUCCGCAUUGACUGACCUUCAUGUCUUAAAGUAAUGAUGGACUGUUGUUUCUCUUUGCUUAUUUGAGUUGUUCUUGACAUAAUAUGGACUUGGUCUUUUACCAAAUAGGCUUUCUUCUGUGUACCAGCCCUACCUUGUCUCAACACAACUGAUUGGCUCAAACUCAGGAAAGAAGGAAAGGAAAGAAAUUCCACAAAUGAACAUUUAACAAGGCGCACCUGUUAAUUUAAAUGCAUUCCAGGUGACUACCUCACGAAGCUGGUUGAGAGAAUGCCAAGAAUGUGCAAAGCUGUCAAGGUAAAGGGUGGCUACUUUGAAGAAUCUCAUAUAAAAUAUAUUUUGAUUUGUUUAACACUUUGUUGGUUACUACAUAAUUCCACAUGUGUUAUUUCAUAGUUUUGAUGUCUUCAUUAUUAUUCUACAAUGUAUAAAACAGUAUGAAUAAAGAAAAUCCCUUGAAUGAAUAGGUUUGUCCAAACUUUUGACUGGUACUGUAAUCGAGAAAGAAAAGGACAAUGUUCAUGUCUUUGACCUUAGAAAUAAGAGGUCUUUUCAGAUAGAUAUGGACUGGAUACACCGAUGUAUUGUAUGAAUUCAGAUGUAAUUUACUAACUCAUUGUUACAUUGCUAUCUUCCAAUAGUGUUUCAUAGCAAAGCUUCUUAGAUAUUUCAUUAUGAAAAAUGACCCAUCCUCCGGUUUAAACAUGUAUAUUUGAGGCUGCAUGCUAGUGCUUUUUUAAAUAACAAACCUAAUUACAUCUUUUGUUUAUUUUGUUAGAUUUUUUUUCUUACAAAUUGACAAGACAGACUAUUUCCUCUCAGAAAGACUACUAUAAAGUUGCAAUUAUUUAAUGUAUAUCAAAAAUGUUGACAUUGUAACAAAUGACUGGUUGAACUACAGGAUUUAUAACUCCAUCAGAGCAGCAGGAAACUAUUGCAAUAUGACCCUAUAUUUACUUCUGAUUAUCGUCACAUUAAAAUACUUUUCUGAGUGAAUGGUCGCUUUAACAUAAGUCUUCGAAUUACAAGCUUUGCGUGCUCCAUAUAAAUAUUUUGACCUAUAGAACAAUGGCGGAGCUCUCAGAGCAACCCCUUGGGCAAUAUUCAGCUGAGAACGAUUCCACUGGCCCACACUGGCUCAAGUUAAGCACCUUCUACCUUUGAAUCCUUCAGGUUCACAAAUGGAGGCGGACAGGUGGAUCUUUCUUGAAGCUCUGCUGGCAACUGAUAGGGAAACUGGCCCGGGAUGUUCAGACAUAUUGUGAUGUCACAGGACAGGAACCCAAGGUGUGGGCUGGGCUGUAUACAAACGACAGACUAGCUAGAGCAAGAGACGGGCAUGUCCAGUUUUCAACAGCCUGAAUGUCUUGUUUCUAAAGCAGUUCUAAUAUGGACACCGUAAAACCUUGUUUAACAUCUGAAACAAGGUCUGAUUCCACCAGGUAAACCAACAGUAUGGUGUCCAUUUUAGGACCGUAUCCAGGUGUGUGAAGGCAUUAAAAGGAAACCAGCAGACACUCACGCUUCACAAGGACUUGAUUUAGUUCAUCCCUAAACUAUAAUUUCACUUUCUUCCCCCAUAGAUUUAGUGAGAUUAUUUUUGUAGACAGAGUUUUAUUACUGUAAAGCUUUUAUAUAAAAAUACAAAAGUUUAGGUGUACAAUGUUUUUUGUUUUGACCUUAAAUGUGCUGUGCGUAAUUGUUUUAUGCAUUUACAAUCAUAUUUAUUAAAUGGAAAGAAUGUUGAUGUUAACAGUGUUUUCAUUUUUUUUUACAAUAUUUGUAAAAAAAAAAAUACUAUGUAUUUGCGGAAGUUAUAUUCAACCUAUAAAGAAAAUCGA